GACGAACGCUGGCGGCGUGCCUAAUACAUGCAAGUCGAACGAGAGCGACCGGUGCUUGCACUGGUCAAUCUAGUGGCGAACGGGUGAGUAACACGUGGGUAACCUGCCCAUCAGAGGGGGAUAACAUCCGGAAACGGAUGCUAAAACCGCAUAGGUCUUCGAGCCGCAUGGCUUGAAGAGGAAAAGAGGCGCAAGCUUCUGCUGAUGGAUGGACCCGCGGUGCAUUAGCUAGUUGGUGAGGUAACGGCUCACCAAGGCCGUGAUGCAUAGCCGACCUGCGAGGGUGAUCGGCCACAUUGGGACUGAGACACGGCCCAAACUCCUAAGGGAGGCAGCAGUAGGGAAUCUUCCGCAAUGGACGCAAGUCUGACGGAGCAACGCCGCGUGAGUGAAGAAGGUUUUCGGAUCGGAAAACUCUGUUGUUAGAGAAGAACAAGUGCUAGAGUAACUGUUAGCGCCGUGACGGUAUCUAACCAGAAAGCCACGGCUAACUACGUG
rnacentral:rRNA from 1 species